rnacentral:lncRNA from 1 species
UAUCUCUAAGACGGAUUAAUAAAAGAGUAUGUGAUCACCAAUGUUGCCCCUUCUCCCACACUCAAAUCCCAAUUAGAAAUCCCUCACUUUCCUCUCACUUGGGAGUAAAAGCCUGUUGCAAACACAACCAAAACAAUCAAAUGUUAGCCUCUAAUUAAGCACCUGUAAAUAGGUUUAACUCUAAUUGAGUUGUACUAAUUGCACUUACAGCAAAGAUGGUGGCAUGGCCCGGAUCAGCAAGGUGAGCAAAGAGGUUGUCAAUUGGGCCAGUGCCAGUGUAAAUGUGUUGGAACCAAGCCCCCAUCACAGCCAACAUAGCCAGUCUCCCAUUCUUAAUCUCCUUUGUCCUCAGCUCCUUGACCUUUUCAGGUGAACCACUUCCCCAUCCAAGUGGGUCAAACCAAAGCCCGCCUGGGUACCCAACAUCUGUCCCGGUGAGCUUGUUGUUGGGGAAGAUCGGGUCGGUGUUAACAGACCCAGGCUUGAGGAUGUCGGCCCAUCUCCUGCCCUCGGCCCACCCAAUCAAAACCAGCUCAACAACAAACAGAGUGGUGGUGUCUGUGAAGUACUCUUGUUCUCCAGCUGUGUACCAUGAAGGGGUGUUUAGAAUGCCAAUUUUGGUCAAGAAUUCUGGGAUGAAGAUGCCAGCUGCACCUAACAUAGCCCAUCUGCAGUGUACAAGUUCUGCUUGCUGGUUCCAUCUCAAGCUGUCAGGGUCAGAUGCUGUUGCAAUAGAACAAAGAUUAGUCACAAUUGAAGAUUAUGUGUUCAUAAGGUUUAUUAUUAAUAUUUGAUGUUGACUUACAAAGACCAAGGGGAUCAAAGCCAAAGUCUCCUGGGAGGCUGCAUUAUCAUAGUAUAAACACUUGAUCAGAAACUAGCAAAGCAAGGGAUAUAAAUUACAGGGAGAAGAGUAUAUAUGGAGUAACAAACGCAUACUUAUGUUGUGCGAUUGUGAAUCUAGACCACAUAUUUAGACAAAUGUCAACCUGACUGACAAUUUAAUAAGAGAACAUAAUAUUACUAAAUAUUUCGAACCGACCUUCCAUCGAGCCAUGGAGGAGGGGUGCUGCCUGGGAACCACAAGGGUCUAUCAGGGUCAGCUGCAGCAGCACGUACUGUGAAAGAUGUUGAUGAUCCAGAGGACGCUGUCAAGUUCCUCACUCUGAGCUUCCUCCCACCAAAGAAAGAAGCCUUUGUUGCUGCCAAAGUAGACCCAGCCUUCUGGGAGCUGCAGUAUGAUUUAUGUCUUUCUUGUAUUAAUUAAACAUGCAACUAAAACAGUCCAAAUUCAACUAAACCCUAAAUUAUAUUAUUAAAGUUUGCACGUAGCAGAACUUGCCUGGGAGAAGAUAUGGCAACGGCUGCAAUGGCAGAAGAAGAAGCCCAAGCGGAAGCCAUUUGGAGAUUGAGGCUUGUAACCAAAUUUGCUUUGUUUGUUUGAUCAGUGAAAUUGUAUGUGGCAAUGGCCUAGAGAUGUGAAUGUGUUGCUAAUGUAAGAAUUGAAGGGGCUUAUCUUAAAGGAUAGGAGAGAGGUAUCCGAUUGGCUUUUGGGCUGCCAUGUGGCAAGUAGAAUCUGAUACGGGGCCCCAGUGAACCCUUCUCGUCCAGUUGUUGAGCUUACCUGGAAUAAUCACAGACUGGUGGUUCUCAUUACAAGUCAGAAUGACCAAUAUAUCUAACAACUGAUUGCAACCAAUGAGGCCUUGGUAUAAGGGGACCCUAUAGAUUUCUGAUAUACUCAUACAAGGUAAGGAUUUUUUAUCCAAUGUAAUAUGUGUUUAUAUAAAUGUAACACAUAAACACAAUAUUAUUAACACAAAAUGUACGAGAACAGCAUCUUCUUUAAGUUUCAUAUUAUUCUCACCCAAACCUAAAAGCCUAAAUAUGGUCUUAAUCAUACACUUUUCUAUUGAUUCUUUUAAUCAAAGUUCCGUAUAGAUGUCACAUUAUUAACUUUUAGAACUCAUUUGGUAACCGUAUUGGACCGUACUAGACCACGUUUAGUUUAGUUGUCUUAAAACGAAUUCACUUGUAUUGUAAUGUACAGAGUUUGUAACCCUUUUUAGUAGAUUUACAUUUUUGGAGUUUAGAAUUUGAAGUAUGGAGUUUAAGAUUUGAAUUUGAACAUUUUUUUCACAUAGGACAUGUCAUGGUUACUUACAUUACGUAUAGGCCUUAACGAAAAAGAAGAAAAGGAACAUGAUAUUGCUGUGUGGGCUUGUUUAAGAAAACAUAACUUCCGAGAUGGAUUUCAGACCUUCCAUCACAAGAAGCCCAGCUGAGAUUCAUUGGGUCAGGAGGACCAAGUGUUCAACCAAGCAUACAAAAUCAAACAAAGGGAUGGUAGGACCUGAAGUUCCAAGUAGCUUUAAAAUGGAAUUCAAGAAUAAUGCAAAGAGCUGAGCCCAAGCAAAAAGGCUAAAAGCCGCUUUAAAAUGAAUCACUUUUAUUCCGUGUCCUUUUGGCACUUUGGGGAAAGAGUGUUUGUUACUCAAGUAAUGAACACAAACCAACUGUAAAAAAUCAUUAGGGAAGAAAGGGAAAGAACCCAAAUGAUCCAACUGCAGCUAGAUCAAACCCAAAACAUUCAAUAAUUUCAGUGGAGAAGUCAAAUUAUGUGGAUUAAAGCACAAAAGUUUUGACUUUUGACAGCAUAUGGCAACUCACACCCAGAUAUGCAAUGGAAGAGUAAAUCUGUAAAUGGCUUCUCCACCCACAAUGAUGAAAACUUUUCAAUCAUGCAAGGAUAAAAGGUAAAUAAAAACCAUGUAUCAAUCAAGGUUUACUGAGACAUAAUUAUCCAAAAAUUCACCCCAUCAGAUAAAGCAACCGACCAGGAAAUCUGGUUUGGUAGAAAAUAAGCCUUUUAAGGAAGCAAAUGGUGGUUAGCAGAUUUGGGUUAACGUAAUUAGUGAUUGUUUUGAGGUCUGCCAACAACAUCAAAGCAUGUUUGAUAUAAAAAAGGAUUUAUCGUCCAAUCCAGUUUAAGAGCUUAAGCCAAAUCUUUAUGUUCUCCUUCACUUUGGAUUCCUUCUCUAUGAUUUUUCCAUGCAACCAUGUGCUGGCUAUUACCAAUGCAAUUAUGUCUCUCAAGAAAUUAUAGCAUAUAAAAACGGUGUCGUAAUUAUGUCCCGUAGAAUAAUUAUAUAACAUUACAAAACCACAAAUAAUUAUAAACUUUGAUUGGCAUACAAUUCUACAUAUAUAUAUAUAUAUAUAUAUCUCUCUCCUCUCUCAUCCUUUUUUUUCAAAUUGCUUGUUAAUUGCGGGGUCAACAAGCGAAGACGCAGUCCUAUGAAUCAUUGUAUUUGGUUGACGAGUGUGAAUUAGAAAGUAAAUAAUAAAAAGAAACCGAGUCCCAGAGAGAGUUAUUGUUCUGAAAGUACUAAAAUGAUGCACCUGCGAAAAGCUAAUUAUAUUAUUGUGUCGGAUUUUAUUUCUGAAUUGGACCCAAAUAAUAUCAUGCUGCUUCACAAUUUAUGUUCACACCAGUCAUCAUGCAGUCACAUGCAUUUGCUAUCGGUGAUGAAUUUUGUUUCAAGGAUUGUGAUUAAUGGUGGGGGCAAAUCCUAUGCCAAUAAUGACCCUGUUUUGUAGCUGGAUAGUACAUUGCAAGGUAGUAUAAUUCAUGGCGGUAAACUGGUAAUCACUACAUAAUUGUGUUUUGGCAGAUCAAAAACCUACUCUGGAGUCACCUUUUCCCCUAGCCGAAACACAAAAUGGAAAAGUUAAAGGAGAAAAUCUUGCGUGUAACCGAUUAUAUAUAUGUAACCAAGAAGUCUAUUCUUGUGAACCAAAUGCAUAUACUUUGUUUACUUUAAAAACUUGUAAGAGCCUGAAAUUUUAUGGUUGACCCCAUCAUCACAUAUCUUUUUAUAUAUAUUAAUUAGUUUUAAGCCAUAGAUUUAUUUAGUAACCUUGACACCAUUCUAAUUAUAUAAUUGAUUGAAAAUUAUACUAUACAAUCGAAAUUGACUUAGAAUUGGUUUGUAAGUGCAAUAGUUUCCACCUUCUCCUAAGUGCAAGCAAACGAUACAAAGAAGGGAGAUGAUAUGAUUGAUGUGGCACCAUCACAUUUAUUACCCAAUUGUUUGUUUUCCAAGUACUACCAUUUAGGGUUCAUGUCAAGUAGGUAGUUCAUUUUAGCCCUAGCUACGUACCCUCCCAUAAACCUACAAACUACAAGGACUAAGAGAGAAGUGUGACUUGUCAAUCGGGUCGAUGAAUCGAAAAGAAAAUAUGCGGAGGAUGAACGAAAGGACUAUUUGGUAAGGUCAUAAUCUUUGAUUAUUGCAACAUGGUGAUGUUUACUUAAGUUAAGAUUAGAUGCCGACCAAACAUCAGGGUUUUGUAUGCUUUAUCUGUAAUGAUGCAACCAUUGCUUCUUGUACCACCUAAUCUCCCCCUCUUUCUAUCUCCAUUUGGAUGAGAACAACAUACGACCCCUUGUCGGCUCUUUGGACGGCUGGUUACUUUCAUCAUGUUACAUGUAUGUUGUUCCCAUUAGUCAAGAGUCAACCUUAUAUUAUAUCAAAUUAAAAACCAUUAGCGGGUAAUAAUACAGAUUAAUUAUUGCCGAUAGCGAAUCGGCAUGAGUUUUAUCUGUAAGUCAAUUAUAGAAAAAUUGAAGCCAACAAAUUGGUUAGAUAAAAUGGAGCUCUCAAGCAUGACGAACAACCUGAAAUCCGUGAAGAUGCAUGCAUAUGUUAAGAGCCAAAGGGAAGCUAUAUAGCGGCAUUAUCGUGUUGGCUUAACACAAUUUUCUUCUGAAUUUUUUAUAUGGGAUUUGUGUAUUUUAGGUGCAUGCCAUAUGUUUGGGCUUGGAAGUUGGACGUUUAACUAUUUUCUAUUCAUUCUUUAACUUUGCUUUCGAGUUUGGAUAUGAAAGUCUGCGUUUUUAAUUUAUUUUUUUUUGUGUGAAAUGACGUGGGGUUUUAUGCUACUACAUAAACAAAGUCAGAAAGAGACGUGCAUAUAUAUUUUUAUCGAGUCACAAUUUGGAAGGAAUGUUACAUGCUAAUUAAUUCACUUCUAGAAGCUGUUACAUCAAAAUCACAACAACCCUAGCUAAAUCCUCCAAGAAGUUAACAUAUAUUUGAUAUGUCCCAAACGUUCUAGUUUGUGGGGGGAAAUAGAGAAAGGGUGGAAGCAUGAAUUGGAUUGGAGAACAGAUAUUGGUGCAAUCCCAUUCAUUCCUCAGCUGCUAUAGAAUGGUAAUUUUUAUAAUGACCAACUUUUCGGUACGAUCGAUUGAACAACAACAACAACAACAACAACAACAACAAUAAAAGGUUUUGAGAAAUUGCUGUGCAUAUGAUAACUUCUUUCUAAUUAUGUGUUUUUCUUCUUCUUCAAGUUAUUAAAGAUUUCCUGGUUUGUAGAAGAAGCUAAGGGAAUACAUAGUACGUAUAAUGAUUGAUACAUGACUAGUACGUACGAAAAGAGGGAAGACAAGAGUACUU